rnacentral:rRNA from 1 species
UACGAAGGGGGCUAGCGUUGCUCGGAAUUACUGGGCGUAAAGGGCGCGUAGGCGGCCGAUCAAGUCAGGCGUGAAAUUCCAGGGCUUAACCUUGGGGCUGCGCUUGAUACUGAUUGGCUUGAGGAUGGAAGAGGGUCGUGGAAUUCCCAGUGUAGAGGUGAAAUUCGUAGAUAUUGGGAAGAACACCGGUGGCGAAGGCGGCGACCUGGUCCAUUACUGACGCUGAGGCGCGACAGCGUGGGGAG